rnacentral:lncRNA from 1 species
UCUCCUAAACUUUUUAUGUUCCAUUGAAGACCUGGAAAACAUGUUAAAUAAAAAUGCUUUGCCACAGCUGACCUAUGUCUUCUGGCUUGUACCCCACAACAUCUUAUCUAAUGGGCUACAGAGAAACAAGGAGACGGGAGAGCCUUGAAAUGGACCUUCAAGAUUACAAUGUGUAGCUGACAUUGUCAGUUAAGUUGGGCAGAUCUGACUUCGCUGAUUAAGUGGAUGUAUGAGCCGAUCCUCCCCAGAAGCUGGGAUCAGCUUCCCCAUCUGAUGAGCCAGUCUUGGUGCUCUGUGUUCACCUGGUUCAUCUGAGGAGCUGCAUCUACCCUGCCCAUGCCAUAGAUCCUGCCCUGUUUGCUUCUCCUGUUGCUGCUAGUGGACAUGAGAAGGACAGAAUAACGGGCUCCCAGAUUCACAAGCCCCACCAAGAGGAUCACCCCAGGAACGCUUGGAGGCUGAGGAGUUCACUGAGGCUACUGCAUCUUGAGACUCAGGAUGAAGACCCAGCUUGGGGCUGUCAAAGGUUUUUUGCAUGUCUGACACCCAUGACUCCACCUGGACCUUAUGGCUCCACCCAGAAGCAAUUCAGCCCAACAGGAGGACAGCUUCAACCCAUUACGAUUUCAUCUCUGCCCCAACCACUCAGCAGCAAGCACCUGUUACCUGUCCACCCCCACCCCUUCCCCCAAACUGCCUUUGAAAAAUCCCUAACCUAUGAGCUUUGAAUAAGAUGAGUACGAACUUCAUCGCCCACGUGGCGUGGCCGGCCUCGUGUCUAUUAAAUUCUUUUUCUACUACAA